rfam:Triticum aestivum genome assembly, contig: Triticum_aestivum_CS42_TGACv1_scaffold_210959_3AS
GUCUCCUCGGGGACUUGUGAUAAAAUUGAAACAAUAUAGAGAAGUUUAAUAUGGCCCCUGUGUAAGGAUGACACACACAAAUUUGGAAAGAAAGAAAAAGAUAUUU